UACGGAGGGUGCGAGCGUUGUUCGGAUUUAUUGGGCGUAAAGCGCGUGUAGGCGGUUUUAUAAGUCUGAUGUGAAAGCCCCGGGCUCAACCUGGGAAGUGCAUUGGAUACUGUAAGACUUGAAUACGGGAGAGGGAAGUGGAAUUCCUGGUGUAGGAGUGAAAUCCGUAGAUAUCAGGAGGAACACCGGUGGCGAAGGCGGCUUCCUGGACCGAUAUUGACGCUGAGACGCGAAAGCGUGGGUAGCAAACAGG
rnacentral:rRNA from 1 species